UCGUGCUUUUCCGCCUUCAUCAUCGUUAAUCUCCGCCCCAACAUCGUCAAUCCCCGCCCCAACAUCGGCAAUCUCCGCCCCAACAUCGGCAAUCUCCGCCCCAACAUCGGCAAUCUCCGCCCCAACAUCGGCAAUCUCCGCCCUCCCUUCGGUUAUCUCCGCCCCAACUUCGUCAAUCUCCGCCCUCCCUUCGGUUAUUUCCGCCUUCAUCAUCGUUAAUCUCCGCCCCAACUUCGUCUAUCUCCGCCCCAACAUCGGCAAUCCCCGCCCCAACUUCGGCAAUCUCCGCCCUCCCUUCGUCAAUCUCCGCCCACCUUCGUCAAUCUCCGCCCACCUUCGUGCUUUUCCGCCUCCGCUCGUCCCUUCCCUCCCCCCCUCAGGGCGCCGCCGGCCGCCAUUUUGUACGCGCGUCCCGCCGAAUUAAGGGAGGGAGGGGGGGGGGGGGGGGGGGGGG
rnacentral:lncRNA from 1 species